UAAGAACCCAGCCACACACGUAUGUCCUU
rnacentral:sRNA from 1 species